ACUUUAUUAGUAUAGUAAUUACACUUGAUUUCCAAUCAAGAAAAUCCUAAAAAGGAAUAAAGUA
rnacentral:tRNA from 1 species